rnacentral:rRNA from 1 species
GACGAACGCUGGCGGCGUGCUUAACACAUGCAAGUCGAACGGAAAGGCCCUGCUUUUGUGGGGUGCUCGAGUGGCGAACGGGUGAGUAACACGUGAGUAACCUGCCCUUGACUUUGGGAUAACUUCAGGAAACUGGGGCUAAUACCGGAUAGGAGCUCCUGCUGCAUGGUGGGGGUUGGAAAGUUUCGGCGGUUGGGGAUGGACUCGCGGCUUAUCAGCUUGUUGGUGGGGUAGUGGCUUACCAAGGCAUUGACGGGUAGCCGGCCUGAGAGGGUGGCCGGCCACAUUGGGACUGAGAUACGGCCCAGACUCCUACGGGAGGCAGCAGUGGGGAAUAUUGCACAAUGGGCGGAAGCCUGAUGCAGCAACGCCGCGUGCGGGAUGACGGCCUUCGGGUUGUAAACCGCUUUCGCCUGUGACGAAGCGUGAGUGACGGUAAUGGGUAAAGAAGCACCGGCUAACUACGUG